rnacentral:rRNA from 1 species
AUGCUCAAUUGGGCAAGCAAGGCUGAGCUACAUGCUAGGGUUCCUCUGGGCAAGCUGCUGGAUCGGGGCGCCACUUUCUCCUCAGGCUCAAAGUUGUUCGUCGGGGGUCUGUCCUACAAUUCGAAUGAAGUUGCUCUCAAGGACGCCUUCUCUCAGCAUGGCGAUGUUAUCCAAGGUGCUGAUGGAAAGAAAAUACGGGUGAAUUAUGCAAACAGCGGACAAUCUGCUGCUGUUUCUGCUGCUGCUGCUGCUGCAGAUGAGUGUAACACAGGACUAGUUCACACACUCAAGCAAAUGACAGUCAUUCAUCAAGCUGCAUCCGAAUUUUCUAGGCCCUUCACAAUAAUCCUUGAGAACCAAAAGUAUCAUGGAAUGCUGACGCUGAGUGCCCUCAUUAGCGGCACUUUUACUUUUGGCAGGCUGUCACCUCCUUAUGCUGAUUCUUUUCUGAUUUCCUCCAUUCAAGAUUUUUUUCCUCACUAA